rnacentral:rRNA from 1 species
ACUCCUACGGGAGGCAGCAGUGGGGAAUUUUGGACAAUGGGCGCAAGCCUGAUCCAGCAAUGCCGCGUGGGUGAAGAAGGCCUUCGGGUUGUAAAGCCCUUUUGUACGGGAAGAAAUCAUCCGGGUUAAUACCCUGGGUGGAUGACGGUACCGUAAGAAUAAGCACCGGCUAACUUCGUGCCAGCAGCCGCGGUAAUACGUAGGGUGCGAGCGUUAAUCGGAAUUACUGGGCGUAAAGCGUGCGCAGGCGGAUUGUUAAGCAAGACGUGAAAUCCCCGGGCUUAACCUGGGAAUGGCGUUUUGAACUGGCAGUCUAGAGUGCGUCAGAGGGGGGUGGAAUUCCACGUGUAGCAGUGAAAUGCGUAGAGAUCACUAGGAAUACCAAAAGCGAAGGCGAUCUUCUGGAACAGUACUGACGCUGAGGCGCGAAAGCGUGGGGAGCAAACAGGAUUAGAUACCCUGGUAGUC